rnacentral:ncRNA from 1 species
AUUGCUACAUCGCAUUACACAACAUUAUUGAACAGUUUUCGGUCAAAUUAGGGAAUAAUAUGUAUGAAAGACAGCUACCAUCUGCUGGAUUAUGGCUGAACGCCUCUAAGUCAGAAUCCAUGCUAGAAAGCGGUGAUUUCUUUCCCUCACACAACAUAGAUGGAUACGAAUAAGGCGUCCUUGUGGCGUCGCUGAACCAUAGCAGGCUGGUAACGGUGCUCUUGGCGGAAAGGCCUUGGGUGCUUGCCGGCGAAUUGCAAUGUCAUUUUGCGUGAGGAUAAAUCAUUUGUAUACGACUUAGAUGUACAACGGGGUAUUGUAAGCAGUAGAGUAGCCUUGUUGUUACGAUCUGCUGAGAUUAAGCCUUUGUUGUCUGAUUU